rnacentral:rRNA from 1 species
UACGUAGGUGGCAAGCGAUACUCGGAAUCACUAGGCGUAAAGCGCAGGUAGGCGGUUUGGUAAGUCUUUUGUGAAAGCUCCCGGCUCAACUGGGAGAGGCCAAAGGAAACUACUAGACUAGAGUGUGGUAGGGGAUACUGGAAUUCCUGGUGUAGCGGUGAAAUGCGUAGAUAUCAGGAAGAACACCCGUGGCGAAAGCGGCUCUCUGGAACGGUACUGACGCUGAGACGCGAAAGCGUGGGGAGCGAACAGG